rnacentral:siRNA from 1 species
CCGAACCCGUCGGCUGUCAGCGG